rfam:Clostridium sp. CAG:914 genomic scaffold, scf75
GUGAAGUCUUAUCAAAUCUAAGUAUUACAAUUAGUAUUGAGAGAGAAACUCAAGUGAUAAGAGGCAAAACUAAUUACUGAUAAUUUUUAG